rnacentral:lncRNA from 1 species
CCAGAAGCUUUGAAUAUUGUUAACAGUACAUGUCCGGAAGUAACUUGUAAAGAAAAAGAAAACUGACCACAACCUAGAACCCAUUCAAUUAGCUAUUUCGUGAAUCUGAAUGUUGUUUAAACAUGACACGUAUGACAUGACAACUUAAGUGAAUCAUACAGCAAAAGAUAGCUCUAAUACAGUCCUUUUACUUAAAUACAUAAGAGGACGUAGGAUCCAACUUCUGACUCAUUUAGCACACACUACAUCAGGUCCAAAAUGUUCUGCAUCAGAUAGAUUCAAACAGGACCAUAUUUAAAUCCUAAAGUACACAUGUAACAUUUAACAGCAUGAUCGACUAUACAUGAGAGAACUUAGCUAUGAGAAGCAUGAAGCAGAAGAGAUUCAUAUACAAAAGAAAUAAAGCUAAGCUACGAAUCAGUAACUUAAAAAUUAAACUUCAUCAUUCCAUUUUCAUUUUCAAUCUUCAAUUUGAGUAUCACAUUGUAUGAGUCUCAGGAAAAUGUACCUGGAAUUGAAAGGGAAAAAGAGGUGAGGUAAUAGUAGGCAGCAAUAGAACUAGAAUUUCAGCAGCAGGAAAUAACCAGUAAAACCAAUUUCAAACCAGAAACAAGAUGUGCAACAGUCUAAAAAACACAGUUCAAUCGAACAAUCACCCAGCAAACUUCAAACCAAACUUUUACAAACCCAAAUUCAAUCCAUUUCCACCCCAGAUGAAUCAAAAAUUCCUUCAGAAAUUGAAAACUUCAAAAAUCACAGAAGAAGUUCAAUGAAACAGUGAUUUUAUUGAAAUUUUCAACCAUUUUUUUUCUGGAUUUGUUAUCUCUGAAUUUCUUCCUUGAAUGCCAAGUUAGAGAGCUUUUAUAGACAAGGCAUUUAGGGUAGCUAAAGGAGGAUCAGAUUUGCACCUAGACCCUUUUGCAAUUUUCAUUUUUGCUUAAGAAACCUUAGUCUAAAAAUCAGAUUUUCAAAUUAGCCCCCACCCCAGCUUCCUAGAAAAUUCCUCAAUCAGUUUUCAAAGAUUCCCUAAACCAGAAUUCCUAACUUACCAUUUAGGACCCUUGUUAUUACCCCUGGGCCAGGCAGAAUAUGGGCCAAAUCGACCCAAUUCAGAGUGUUAAUGGGUCUGUUAAAAAAAACUAAUUCGAUUCUCUUUUGGGUUCUUUGAUUUCCCAACUCAAAUCAAGAUUGAAAACUCAGAAAACUCUUGAAUAAUCAAUUACAAAGUCUUAAGACUUGAAAAGUUUAGGCCCAAACAGAAACAAAACCUAACAAAUCUGAACUUAGCACUAGAAUAUAAAUAAUAACUAAACACAUCCCAAAACUAACAUGCAAAUGGAAGGUGUGAAGAAAAUGACAGAAAGAUGGGAAGUAAAUUCAGAAAACUAACAGAACAAGUAGGAGAAAAUGAGAAAAGAACAAAGAAACAGAAAUUAAAUAGCAAAAAGGUAAGGAAUAGAAAGUAAAAUGACCUAAACAAACCAGACCAGUAAAGAAUGGCGACAAGUCUUCAAAUCUUGCAAAUUUCUGGCCAAACCUGAUACCAAUCGUGUGUUCUUUACGAACAAAAUCAGGCUAGACCCAAAAUUUCAACAGAAUCUCGAUUUGCAAUUUUUAGGGCUUCUCUUAAAAUCCAGAUUCGAUGAGUCUGGUGAGGAUUCGAGGGAAACCAAUCAGGGAUUUGGAACGAGGGGGACGUGGUGGUCUUGUGGUGUAAUUUUGGAGUGGUUUGGGAGAAGUUAGGUUUUUGGUCUGACUUUUGAUUGAAGAUUCGACAAGUUCAAGUAGGAUUAGAGGGAGGGGGUUUGGAGAUUUGGGAAGAGGAAAAGGAAAGGAAUCUAUGGUGUUAAUUUGGUAGUAAUUGGACCACCGGAACCGUCGUGAGGUAAUUUCCGGUGGGCGGAGUAAGGCGGAGCAAGGUGGGGGCGAUGGGGAUUUGAGGGCGGAGGUCUCUAGGGUUUGGGAGAGGGAAGAGACGGGGGGUUCUGA